GAACUUUUGACUGCGAUUCUCAAAAUUUCUAUUUGUUUUUUCAACAAAGUAUAAAUUAUUUUUUUUUGUGAUUUGUUUCUACAGAAAGCUGUUUGAGUGUUUAAGUGUAUGGUUUAUAAACACUGUACGGAAUACAAUCAUAAUUCUACAUGAGAUUAUAAGCAGCUGUACUUUGGAGCUAAUACCUAAAAGCCUGACGGACGAGAGUCACUGUGUAAUAACUGUUAAUUGUGGCACUUUAUCAAUAAGCUGGCACCCCCGUGGACUUCUCUGUGUAGAAAGAGCUAGAGAUAGUCUAUUUUUAGGGAAUAUAAGUUUGUGUUCAUUGCCUUCUUUUGUUGUAAGUUGUUACGUAACAUCAAACUUAUGGCAGAAAUGUCUCUUCAAUUUCUGGUAGUGAUUGUACUUUUAGUUUGUGUCAACAGCUCUGUAGUCCAGUGUGCAACACCCGAGCCUGAACUGACCUGCUCUGACGCAGUCCAUAUGUGUAAAAAUGAUUUCGCAAACUCGGAUAAAAAAAGGCAUGAUGUGUUACUGUUGAUACAAUGUCUUAAGGCAGCUAGCUGUGACGACAAUGACGAUGAUACAGCCAUGAGAGACAAGGAAGUUUACAUUGCACGGACUAAUGUCCUCCACUAUUCUCCUCUAGAUGACAUGGAAAAUGGCGCCAAAUCAGCACCAGUUGUGUCAGCUGUAACUGUGAUACUCUCUAACAUGGCAGCACUAGUCAUGAUUCAAAGAAGACAGUAAACUGAGUUAUUACUAAUACAACAACAAAAUAUGAACUGAGUUAUUACUAAUACAACAACAAAAUAUGAACUGAGUUAUUACUAAUACAACAACAAAAUAUGAACUGAGUUAUUACUAAUACAACCAAAAAUAUGAACAUUUGUCAUUGAAUAUUUGCGCUUAUAUUAAAACUUCACUGCACGUGAAACAUUUUAAAAAAUUAAAUUGUUAAGAGAAUACGCUAUUCUGUUAAAAUGUAACUUACGAUUCUGUUAAAAUGUAACUUACGAUUCUGUUAUUAUGUAACUUACGAUUCUGUUAUUAUGUAUCUUACGAUUCCGUUAUUAUGUAACUUACGAUUCUGUUAUAAUGUAACUUACGAUUCUGUUAUUAUGUAACGUACGGUUCUGUUGUUAUGUAACUUACGAUUCUGUUGUUAUGUAACUUACGAUUCUGUUAUAAUGUAACUUACGAUUCUGUUAUAAUGUAACUUACGAUUCUGUUGUUAUGUAACUUACGAUUCUGUUAUUAUGUACCUUACGAUUCUGUUAUAAUGUAACUUACGAUUAUGUUGUUAUGUAACUUAGAGCCUGUGUAAGGGGUUUGCGAGGGGAGACAUAGUGUAUCACAGCGCUUGAUGGGGGCCCCUCUUAAUAGAUGAAUCAGUAGUGUACGAGUUCUACGAUGUGCCCCUGGGGCCCGCAAUCCCCUUUUCACCUGCUUGGAACUUAACAUUCUGCACAUCCAAAUUUUCUUUUUAUAUUUCCUAUAAGCUAAUUGCCACAAACUGUACUACAGUCAAACUUAGGUAAACAAGCUGUACUACAGUCAAACCUAGGUACACAUCUGUACUACAGUCAAACCUAGGUACACAUCUGUACUACAGUCAAACCUAGGUAAACAAGCUGUACUACAGUCAAACCUAGGUACACAAGCUGUACUACAGUCAUACCUUGGUACACAUCUGUACUCAGAGGCGUAACUAGGGAUUUGGGGGCCCGGAGAGAUUGACCUCUUUGGGGCUCCUUGCAUUUUGACAUUCGACAUAUGACAUGAGAUAAUGUACGCAAAAAUAUAUAAGCCCCAAAUCAAAUUGGUACAGUAUAUCAGUAAACUAAACAAAAAUUAAUCAUCAAGACUCUUUUAAUGAAUAAUACCUUUGUUUAUUAGCUAAAUAAUGCACUAGUGACAAAUCUAAAUUGAUAUCGCUUCACGUCGUGCAGCAAAGAAAUCUAUAACAUCAACUACAUCGAUACUUUCUAGUAUUUGUGACUUCACUGACAUUAAAAUCAUGAUAAGCUUUCUUGCGUCAUUGUGCUCCUGAGAUAGCUUUUGAUGAACUUGAGCUUUGAGAAUGAUCUCUCACAUGACGUAAUGGAAGUGGCCUGAGUUAGCGGUAUUCGGAGGAGGUUGCAAAGCUUGAGCACACGUAAUUCCCAUAUGAAUCCUGUUUCCUCAAUAUGUCUAUUGGUGAUUGUAUUACUGUUUGUUGAUGAAAAGUGCUCGUGCAUCAAUGACAUCAUUGAAAAAGCGAUUUUCCAUUUUAUUUCAUCAUACAAACAGGAAAAGUAGCACAGUUUGUCACAAGCGCGUCUUCAUCUAACAGGUGUCUUGGUUCAAGAAGAAACCCAAAGGUAUCCAUUUUCUUUCCAGCCUUUGGAAUCUUCCCUUCAUCUCCAUAUGAAAUCUGUCCAUCACAUCUGUUGCAACACGUUUGAAUUGCAGUUCUAUUGACAGUCCUACAUUAGAACUCAACUUUCCAUCAAGUCUUUUCUUUCUUCUGGUUGUUUUGAUUACAGGGAAUCCAUAGUAUUCACUACCUUCUUUUGCUUUUUCGAUGGAUUGGGUUUUUAUCAGUUUCUCAUCAUUUUGCAGAAAGCAUGAAAGGGUACUAAUUUCUUUAGCAGCUUCCCGUAUAUGCAGUCCAGACUUUUGUAGUUUCUUCCGAACUAUAUUAAUUGGGCGCAGGAGCUUUGACCAGAAUUCAAGAUAGGCAAAAAAUUCUUAAUUUUCCACUGCAUGAAGAAGAUUCUGUGCUAAUAUUAUAUGGUAUUACGUCAUUGUUGGUUGUUUAUGUUUUGUGCGAAAGCAAGAGGAUUCAGAGCAUACAAAAGUGGGAAAGAUCCAUAUCUCGUAAUAUAGAAAUACUCCGAUAAGAGGACUGCCGUAUACACAAUCACAACUGCUGACGAGUAGAAGACUCAGGGAAUCAUUCCAACUGAUCACAAACUAUUGAAACCAUCGGUAGCUCAAAAUGCAGAGACAUUACUCAACGAACGACAGAUGAAAAGCAAAGUGAAAUACGAAGCAAAAGCAAGACUACCUAAAGAUUAUUCUGUCGGAGAGUUCGUCUAGGUCAAACAUGGCAGAAAGCAGUGGUCAUAAAAAAAAAACAUUCAGCACCCAGAUCUUACAUCAUAAAGACAAACGAUGGAAAAACAUAGGCUACAGAAUAAGAGUUUCGAUGAAGACAUCUCUGGGUACUAUGAUACCGAUGAAGACAAUGAACUGCAAACUGUUGGAACAAACGAAACAGACAAUUAUAGACCAACGUCUAGAGAACUUGUUGUGCCAGUCAAGACAACAAGAAGUGGACGAAUUGUUAAAGUUCCUAGUAGACAGGGCCGGCCUUAUGCCACUGCAGCCUAUGCGGUCGCAGUGGGCGCCGCGCUUUCAUAGGCCCCGCGCUAAUUCCAAGUGUACAUUAUUAAAUUAAACAAUUAUAACGUAUAUAAAAUAACAGGGUUUUCGCGACCUCCUGAUUUUCCAGAGCCUCCAGGAAAUCUCCUGAAAAGGCAAAAUAUACGAUAAAGUCCUGAACUUUUUUUGAAUUUAUUCAAAUCUCCUGAAGAAUAGACGAAAUUGACAUUUUGGGGUGCCAAUAAAUAAAAAGUGGCAUUGCGAGCUUUUAUUUGAUAAAAAUUUAUUGCAAAGACGAAAGUAGGCCUAUUUUCUAAUUCAAAAAAAAAAAAAAAUUUUGACAUAAUGAUUAUCCCUACCCAGACUAGGCCCCGCGCGAUCCGUUUCGUAUAGGGCCCCGCAAAUGCUAGGGUUCAGUAGAUAUCACUCUUAAGAACUUUAAAAGGAAGGGUGUGAUAAUAACUUCAAAAGGAAGGAUGUGUUAAUAUUAUAUGAUAUAACGUCAUUAUUUAUUUUUUUUUAUGUUUUGUGCGAAAGCUAAAGGAUUAGAUGUAAAUAAAAAGAGAGUUUCCAUUGGAUUGAGGAAAGAUGAAUAAAGGGGUAAUAACUCGAGUGUGAAGUUUAAUUCUGAAAUUAUAGACGCCAAACCCGAAUAAUGGACAAUUUUAUCAUUAUUAAGAAUAACUUUUAGAUCUGUUAUACUCGAUUCUGUAAAUUUUGCUUCAAGGUUAAUUAGUGUAGCUAUAUAAUACUCGCCAUUUAGAUCUAUUAUUAGUAAAGGUAACAAGAUACCUGGAAUUCGCUGUAUAUAAUGCAGUUUUAUUCGUGGCAACAAAGUUUAAAAUAUAACACACAUUUUAAAAAAAAAAAAAAAUUGAUCUCUGUGGGAAAAAAAUAUUUUUAAAAUAUCAACAAAAAUCUAGGUUUAGUCUUUGUGAUAAAUUUAAUCCAUAAAUGUUGAAAAAAAAACACCCGUUGACACUAUUUGUCAAUCAAAUAUAUUAAUUUAUGUAUUAACAAAUAAAUUUCGGACACCCAUUUGGGCCCCCCCCCAGGUGGGGGCCCGGGGGGAUUUUAAAAUUACCCCCCCCCCCUUAGUUACGCCACUGUCUGUACUACAGUCAUACCUAGGUACACAUCUGUACUACAGUCAAACCUAGGUACACAAGCUGUACUACAGUCAUAUCUAGGUACACAUCUGUACUACAGUCCUACCUAGGUACACAUCUGUACUACAGUCAAACCUAGGUACACAAGCUGUACUACAGUCAAACCUAGGUACACAAGCUGUACUACAGUCAUACCUAGGUACACAUCUGUACUACAGUCAAACCUAGGUACACAAGCUGUACUACAGUCAAACCUUGGUACACAAGCUGUACUACAGUCAUACCUAGGUACACUUCUGUACUACAGUCAAACCUAGGUACACAUCUGUACUACAGUCAAACUUAGGUACACAUCUGUACUACAGUCAAACCUAGGUACACAUCUGUACUACAGUCAAACCUAGGUACACAUCUGUACUGCAGUCAAACCUAGGUACACAUCUGUACUACAGUCAAACCUAGGUACACAUCUGUACUACAGUCAAACCUAGGUACACAAGCUGUACUACAGUCAAACCUAGGUACACAUCUGUACUACAGUCAAACCUAGGUACACAUCUGUACUACAGUCAAACCUAGGUACACAAGCUGUACUACAGUCAAACCUAGGUACACAUCUGUACUACAGUCAAACCUAGGUACACAUCUGUACUACAGUCAAACCUAGGUACACAAGCUGUACUACAGUCAAACCUAGGUACACAUCUGUACUACAGUCAAACCUAGGUACACAUCUGUACUACAGUCAAACCUAGGUACACAUCUGUACUACAGUCAAACCUAGGUACACAUCUGUACUACAGUCAAACCUAGGUACACAAGCUGUACUACAGUCAAACCUAGGUACACAUCUGUACUACAGUCAAACCUAGGUAUUCUACUUUAAUUCAUUUCAGAUUUUUGGUUGUGAAUUGAAUUGUUCAAUGACGGAAACAUUUGUUCCCCUAAGAACUAAUGUAGUGUCUAUAUACAUACUCGUUCUUACGGACCAGACACCAUUGUAAAUAUGUCUCUAAUGUAAAACUAAAUAUAUAAUAUAUGUCUCUAAUGUAAAACUAAAUAUAUAAUAUAUGUCUCUAAUGUAAAACUAAAUAUAUAAUAUAUGUCUCUAAUGUAAAACUAAAUAUAUAAUAUAUGUCUCUAAUGUAAAACUAAAUAUAUAAUAUAUGUCUCUAAUGUAAAACUAAAUAUAUAAUAUAUGUCUCUAAUGUAAAACUAAAUAUAUAAUAUAUGUCUCUAAUGUAAAACUAAAUAUAUAAUAUAUGUCUCUAGUGUAAAACUAAAUAUAUAAUAUAUGUCUCUAAUGUAAAACUAAAUAUAUAAUAUAUGUAUAAAACUAUGAAAAAUAACAAAAGUAAAUAAACAUCUAUUGACCUAGGCUAAUAAAGUCAAUUUAAAACAUUUUAUGUAAAGCGGCCAUGGCUUUACAACAACGCUGUGAUGGCAUAAGGAGGAAGGAGAGAAGGUGUAGGGCCUACAGAUUUAGAGUACCCCUUCCGUGAAGUAAUUCUCAUUCUGACUUUAUCAGAGCUCGUUGACUUGGAUAAGUCAUGACCUAUGACCUACUGCGAAGCACGUGGUUGUUAUAUUCAGCCAUCAUUUCUUUUAUUUUCAGUUCAAAAUUCAUUCUGUCUUCCUUUUUGUUCAUUGAAGACUUUCUGGAAACCUUUGCUUCCAAGUGGGCUGCAAUGUAACGUUCGGGUCUUCCUUCAAUAGCGGGCAGAAUCUACCAGACGUAACUCUCGGCCGGUGUUGGCCGGCUUUCCCUAGAUGUUCGACUUCCAGAAAUCUGUUCGGGAUCAAAGACACUUUGGACUCAAAUAAAAUGGUCCAAUACCAAAGUACAAAUUUAAUACUAUUCAUGAACCACUGUGACUUGCUCUAGAUUUCAUAGCUAUGAGUAGGCCUAUCUCAUAUUUGGAGUUAGUUGUUUAUUUGGAAACAACUGUUUUAUGUAUAUUUUCUGGUGUAAAAACUGUUUUAUGUAUAUUUUCUGGUGUAAAAACUGUUUUAUGUAUAUUUUCUGGUGUAAAAACUGUUUUAUGUAUAUUUUCUGGUGUAACAAUGUCUUUAAUGGGUUCCUUGUACUAUUUUUUUUUACCUUACUGUAAUGUUGUUGUUAUUGUUUUUUGGGGGUUUUUUUGCUUUUGUUUUUACUUUUAAUUGUAAUUUUUUCUCGAACGUAACUACAUGUAAUAGUUUUUUGUUGUUGUUUUUGUUUUUUUAAUUCGAUUGGUUUAUUAACAUGGUUGAUUCAUUUAUUUUUUUUAUUUUUUUUUUGGGUACAAUAAAUGUUUUAAGUUUCAACUUAAGUGUACAAUUAUCUAAAGGGACAAAUCCUACAUAUUUAGGUAUAAAGGAAGGAUAAAUUUCCUUUGCUGUUAUCAAACAAAAUAAUUAAUUACCAUUAAUUGAUUGACUAAUUGGUUACUGUUUUUAUUGAUUCAUGCAUUGUCUACUGCAAUGAAUAAUUGUGCAAAGUUUCAACUUGAUUCAAGAAUGGGUGUGGGAGAAAUAACGUGUUCAAACUUUAAACCAGAGUGAGUCCAUAUAAGCUUUGUAAUAAAGCAUUGUCUUCGAGUCCGAAGAUCUAAUUAAAAGGCGUAAUCCUAGUCUUUAUGGGAAUAUGUACAGCAAGUUGUGGCUUUUCUAGUUUUUACUUUUACGUGGAAAUUUUGUCAAGCAUCGUCAUUGUGUACCAUGGUUUUAACUUCUUAGGAUUUUGUAACCGUCUGCUCCUGACUUUGUUGUAACUUUUAAUUGGUUCUCAGAUCUUUAUUUGUGCAGCUAUAGACUUGAACAGACAGAAAAAAAUGUUCUGGAGAUAAUAAACAUUUAUAUUCAACUCAUAUGAAAACACAAAACCAUUUCAACUAAUAUGUUGCUGUAUUCGAAGUUUACUUUUAUAAUUUAGAUGAUGCUCUGAUAAUUUGAUGUCGACUAGCAUUUGAUUUUUAGUGCCUUCGUACACCGUAGGGCCUACAGUUUAAAUACUACAAAAUCUAAAGGAAUAAAAAAAAUUAAAGUGUAAUUAUUGUUU